rnacentral:rRNA from 1 species
UACGUGGGUCACAAGCGUUAUCCGAUGUUACUGGGCGUAAAGAGUAUGUAGGCGGUCUGUAAAGUUACUUUUCAAAGCUCGAUGCUUACCAUUGAACAGGGAAGUAAUACUCAUGGACUGGAGUUUUCUUUAGGGUAAUUGGAAUUAAUGGAGGAGUAGUGAAAUGCGUUGAUACCAUUAAGAACACCAGUGGCGAAGGCGAAUUACUGGAAGAUAACUGACGCUGAGAUACGAAAGCCAGGGGAGCGAACGGG